GGCUCCGUAGCUCAGCUGAAUAGAGUGUCAGAUUCCGGUUCUGAAGGUCCAGGGUUUGAAUCCCUGCGGAGUCACUA
rnacentral:tRNA from 5 species